GAUGAAGAACCGCAGCGAAAUGCGAUAAGUAAUGUGAAUUGCAGAAUUCAGUGAAUCAUCGAAUCUUUGAACGCACAUUGCGCCCGCCAGUAUUCUGGCGGGCAUGCCUGUUCGAGCGUCAUUACAACCCUCAGGCCCCCGGGCCUGGCGUUGGGGAUCGGCGGAGCCCCCCGUGGGCACACGCCGUCCCCCAAAUGCAGUGGCGGUCCCGCCGCAGCUUCCAUCGCGUAGUAGCUAACACCUCGCGACUGGAGAGCGGCGCGGCCACGCCGUAAAACACCCAACUCUUCUGAAGUUGACCUCGAAUCAGGUAGGAAUACCCGCUGAACUUAAGCAUAUCAAUAAGCGGAGGA
rnacentral:misc_RNA from 1 species